GACGAACGCUGGCGGCGUGCUUAACACAUGCAAGUCGAACGGAGAGGCCCGGCCUUUGUGGGGUGCUCGAGUGGCGAACGGGUGAGUAACACGUGAGUAACCUGCCCUUUACUUUGGGAUAACUUCAGGAAACUAUAGCUAAUACCGGAUAGGAGCUCCUGCUGCAUGAUGUUGGUUGGAAAGUUUCGAUGGUUGGGCAUGGACUCGCGGCUUCUCAGCAUGUUGGUGGGGUAGUGGCUUAGCAAGGCGUUGACGAGUAGCCGUACUGAGAGGGUGACAGGCCCCAUUGGGCCAGAGAUACGGGCCAGACUGCUACGGGAGGAAGGAGUGGGGAAUAUUGCAAAAUGCGCGGAAGGAUGAUGCAGCAACGCCGGGUGCGGGAUGACGGCCUUCGGGUUGUAAACCGCUUUCGACUGUGACGAAGCGUGAGUGACGGUAAUGGGUAAAGAAGCAACGGCUAACUACGUG
rnacentral:rRNA from 1 species